rnacentral:rRNA from 1 species
CCUACGGGUGGCAGCAGUGGGGAAUAUUGCACAAUGGGCGAAACCCUGAUGCAGCAACGCCGCGUGAGCGAUGAAGGUCUUCGGGUCGUAAAGCCCUUUCCUCAAGGAAGAUAAUGACGGUACCUGACGAAUAAGCCCCGGCUAACUACGUGCCAGCAGCCGCGGUAAUACGGCGGGUGCAAGCGUUAUCCGGAAUUACUGGGCGGAAAGGGUGCGUAGGCGGGUUCGUAAGUCAGAGGUGAAAAGCUAAGGCUUAACCCUAGGACGGCUUUUGAAACUGGGAAUCUUGAGUAUGGGAGAGGUAGGUGGAAUUCUUGGUGUAGCGGUGAAAUGCGUAGAUAUUAGGAGGAAUACGCGUUGCGAAGGCGGCUUGCUGGAAUGUAACUGACGCUGAGGCACGAAAGCGUGGGGAGCAAACAGGAUUAGAUACCCUAGUAGUC